UAGCCAUUAUCAUUCUCUCUUCCAUUCUGUGU
rnacentral:piRNA from 1 species